rnacentral:rRNA from 1 species
CCUACGGGAGGCAGCAGUGGGGGAUAUUGCACAAUGGAGGGAACCCUGAUGCAGCGACGCCGCGUGGGUGAAGGAGCGUUUCGGCGCGUAAAGCUCUAUCGGAAGGGAAGAAGGAGGACGGUACCUGACUAAGAAGCCCCGGCUAACUACGUGCCAGCAGCCGCGGUAAUACGUAGGGGGCAAGCGUUAUCCGGAUUUACUGGGUGUAAAGGGAGCGCAGACGGCUGCGCAAGUCAGGAGUGAAAGCCCGGGGCUCAACCCCGGGACUGCCUGUGGAACUGGGCGGCUGGAGUGCAGGAGGGGGAGGCGGAAUGUCUGGUGUAGCGGUGAAAUGCGUAGAGAUCAGGCGGAACACCGGUGGCGAAGGCGGCCUGCUGGACUGCGACUGACGUUGAGGCCCGAAAGCGUGGGGAGCAAACAGGAUUAGAUACCCUUGUAGUC